rnacentral:rRNA from 1 species
CGCAUCUGUGCAUGCAGCAUAUCAAUAAGCGGAGGAAAAGAAACUAACAAGGAUUCCCUUAGUAACGGCGAGUGAAGCGGGAAGAGCUCAAAUUUGAAAUCUUCAAGGUUUUACCUUGACGAAUUGUAGUUUAAAGAAGUGUUUUCUGUUGAAGUUUUGGUAAAAGUUCUUUGGAAUAGGACAUCAUAGAGGGUGAGAAUCCCGUAUUUGACCAUUAUUUUCAGCUGUGUGAUACACUUUCAAAGAGUCGGAUUGUUUGGGAAUGCAGUCCAAAAUGGGUGGUAAAUUUCAUCUAAAGCUAAAUAUUGGCGAGAGACCGAUAGCGAACAAGUACCGUGAGGGAAAGAUGAAAAGAACUUUGAAAAGAGAGUUAAACAGUACGUGAAAUUGUCAAAAGGGAAGCGUUUGACACCAGUGUUGUUUUCUCGAAAAUCAAUUAAAAAGAGUUAGAUUUUGUUGUGUAUUGACCUUAACAGCUUGCAUUUCAAUUUUCUUGCUUUUUUUAAUGCACUUUUCGUUUAACAAGUCAACAUCAGUUUCUUUUGUUGUAAAAAGGUCAUUGGAAGGUGGCUUUCUUUUCGGAGAAAGUGUUUAUAGCCUUUGACUCCUGCAAUCGGAGAGACUGAGGUCUGCAGCGUAGAUCCUUCGGGGUUAGAUACAUGUGUGCUAAGUUAUAGCUUUUUAUAGACAACUUGUUGACUAUGAUUAGUCUUGUAGCUUACUCGCUUAUGCUAUUUUACCUACGCUUAGGAUGUUGACGCGCGUGUGUGCGUGAGUCUAUACAUGACUCUGCGUAUAUCAAUAAGCGGAGGAAAAGUCAAUACCUACGCUUAGGAUGUUGACGCGCGUGUGUGCGU